rnacentral:tRNA from 1 species
UGUGGCUUAGUGGUAGAGUGCUUGCCUACCAUGCAUGAAGACCUGGGUUUGAGUCUCAGUA